AGUGAACGCUGGCGGUAGGCCUAACACAUGCAAGUCGAACGGCAGCACAGUAAGAGCUUGCUCUUACGGGUGGCGAGUGACGGACGGGUGAGGAAUACAUCGGAAUCUACUUUUUCGUGGGGGAUAACGUAGGGAAACUUACGCUAAUACCGCAUACGACCUACGGGUGAAAGCAGGGGAUCUUCGGACCUUGCGCGAUUGAAUGAGCCGAUGUCGGAUUAGCUAGUUGGCGGGGUAAAGGCCCACCAAGGCGACGAUCCGUAGCUGGUCUGAGAGGAUGAUAAGCCACACUGGAACUGAGACACGGUCCAGACUCCUACGGGAGGCAGCAGUAGGGAAUAUUGGGCAAUGGGCGCAAGCCUGAUCCAGCCAUACCGCGUGGGUGAAGAAGGCCUUCGGGUUGUAAAGCGCUUUUGUUGGGAAAGAAAAGCAGCAGGUUAAUACCCCGCUGUUCUGACGGUACCCAAAGAAUAAGCACCGGCUAACUUCGUG
rnacentral:rRNA from 1 species